rnacentral:rRNA from 1 species
AGAGUUUGAUCAUGGCUCAGAACGAACGCUGGCGGCAUGCCUAACACAUGCAAGUCGAACGAGACCUUCGGGUCUAGUGGCGCACGGGUGCGUAACGCGUGGGAAUCUGCCUUGGGUUCGGAAUAACAGUUAGAAAUGACUGCUAAUACCGGAUAAUGUCUUCGGACCAAAGAUUUAUCGCCCAGGGAUGAGCCCGCGUAGGAUUAGCUAGUUGGUGAGGUAAAAGGCUCACCCAAGGCGACGAUCCUUAGCUGGUCUGAGAGGAUGAUCAGCCACACUGGGACUGAGACACGGCCCAGACUCCUACGGGAGGCAGCAGUGGGGAAUAUUGGACAAUGGGCGAAAGCCUGAUCCAGCAAUGCCGCGUGAGUGAUGAAGGCCUUAGGGUUGUAAAGCUCUUUUACCCGGGAUGAUAAUGACAGUACCGGGAGAAUAAGCUCCGGCUAACUCCGUG